CUUUUUUACGGUUGCAACUAUCCAUUACAAAACAAAGAAUUCCGUUCCUACAAGUAAAUACUCAAGACCCAAGUAGGCUUACAAAUCAGAUCAUGAUAUGAUCAAGUGCUUUCUGGGUCGUCUCAGACCUUCUAAUUGAUAUUUAUCUCCAAAAUAGUUGGAGAUACACAUACAAGGUUUGCUUGUUACUAAUAUAGUCUAGCCUCUCUUCUUCUUUAGAUCCCUUGUUUCACUCUGAUAGUAGUAUUGAUCGUGUCAAUGCAGAGGAAAUGAAUACAUUUACAUACUAUUUAAUCUUAUAAGUGACUAUUGAUCGUGUCAAUGGAGAGGAAAUGAAUACAUUUACAUACUAUUUAAUCUUAUAAUUGAACUAGAUAAAACAGAAUCUUGAUUUUGUUUUAUCUAGUUCACUUACACUGGAUCUUACGGAGCCUACUCAUGUACAACAUGAUUCGGACCUGAUCAUAGAAAAGAUUCUCUUUAAGCGAACCAGCCUAUCCUCUGUAUAGGGCUUACACGGAGAUUGGAACAUAGACACAUUUGGUUGUGAAUUCCCAUGCGGCAGGCAUAUAUCUACACAGACCAAUCAAUAGUUCAAGUCACACACUCCCAUAAUUCAUUUUCUCUUCACAAAAUUCCCUUCAAUCCCCCUGUUUAGUUGACAUGAAUAAUUAAAGGGAAAUAUCCAAAUCCAUGUCUUAUUAUUUUCAAUAAUCCAUACUUGUAGCAAUAAAAUACUAUAUAUUCCUCCACCAAGUGAUAAAUGAUUGAUUACAAAUAUUUAGGAUUUAUUUUUCUUUUCUCUGUAAAGGCCCAGAAAUACCUUGUUUACGUAUCAUUGGAAAGUGCAUUAACAUAAAUACGGCAGUAAGAAGCGGCAAUACAAAAGUGNNNNNNNNNNNNNNNNNNNNNNNNNNNNNNNNNNNNNNNNNNNUGUAAGAAGCGGCAAUACAAAAGUGUGUAAACUAUAAAAACGGGUCAAAGUAGAUUGUCCCACACUAGCGCUUCCAUGCAAUUAUUCGACCAAGGGUAAUCCUAUUACAGGAAUAGCGUCAGGGACACCUGAUUCUAUUUUCACUGCCCAAUAACCAACUUGGUCCUAAUGUAAGAAAUACCCAGUUACGCCAAAAUAUGCGGUUAAUACAUCCAGAACCACACCUGUAACCCAAGUCAAUUCGCGAGGUUUUUUAAAUCCACCGGUGAGAUUCACACGAAAUACGUGCAGGAUCAUCAUUAGGACCAUCAUACUUGCCGACCAUCGAUGAACUGAUCGGAUUAACCAACCAAAGUUGGCUUCAGUCAUAAUGUAUUGAAUAGAAGCAAAAGCCUCAGUAACGGUCGGACGAUAGUAAAAAGUAAUAGCAAACCCAGUAGCUACUUGUUCUAAAAAAUAAGUAAGCGCAAUUCCCCCAAAACAAUAAAAUAUAUUGAUGUGGGGAGGAACGUAUUUACUAGUUAUAUCAUCCGCAAUUGCUUGAAUCUCGAGACGUUCUUCAAACCAAUCAUAUACUUUAUUGAGAUAGGCAAAACUCCCCCUCUCAGAACCGUAUAUGAGACUUUCAUCUCGUACAACUCAAGCAAAAACACCCAAAUACUAGUUGCAACGGAUAUGGAAUAGAAAAUUUUAAAUUUAUAGGCAUAACUCCCCCUAUGAGAACCGUAUAUGAGAAUUUCAUCUCGUACAACUUAAGCAAUAACACCCCACUACAGUUGCAACUGAUAUGGAAUAGAAAGUUUGAAAUUUAUUAAGUUCUCAUCCCAUCUUCUAUGGAAAAUCCGAAAGGUCUUCUUUGUGGCGAUAAUACCAACAUAUCAAGUUGGCGCAGUCGUCUUUAUCUUUAUUUUGAUACUUAUGGGCCUCUUGAAUUCUCUUUUUCCCUAUUUCUUCCUAGAAUUUGUUUUUGUUCAAGUUGGCGCAGUCGUCUUUAUCUUUAUUUUGAUACUUAUGGGCCUCUUGAAUUCUCUUAUUCCUAUUUCUUCCUAGAAUUUAUUUUUCUGGAAUAUGGCUUUUAUUAUUUGUUUUCUUUAUUAUUGAUAGGAAUUCUCUUGUUAUGACCUUAUGGAUCGAUUAAAACCUCAGAUUCAUACUAGAACCACGAUGAUUCAAUAAAAAAAACCUAACCUAAACCAAAUCAAGGAUUCCAUGAGUAAGAAUCCUCGGAUCAUCACUUAUUCCCUGAAUAAAUAGAAUGACUAAAAAUUCAAAGAAAGGUUUUGAUUUUGGUCAAAAUAUAAAUAGGGGUUGAAAGAAAAGAAUCUUUCAAUUUAGAAAUUAGAAUUCUUUGAAAAUGUUUUGGAGCCCGAACACAAGGUCUGAAUAUUAAGUAUGAAUCAAAGUUCAAAUAUUUCUUAAUCUAUUUCGUGUUCCAAAUAUUAGAAUAAAUAUUUGACGAAGUAGAACCAUCUCUAUCAAGAUGACAGACACAUUCUCUGUACUAUCAAUAGGAUCAAUUAUAAUAAGUCACAC
rnacentral:lncRNA from 1 species